rnacentral:rRNA from 1 species
GAUGAACGCUGGCGGCGUGCCUAAUACAUGCAAGUCGAGCGAACGGACGAGAAGCUUGCUCCUCUGAUGUUAGCGGCGGACGGGUGAGUAACACGUGGAUAACCUACCUAUAAGACUGGGAUAACUUCGGGAAACCGGAGCUAGUACCGGAUGAUAUUUUGAACCGCAUGGUUCAAAAGUGAAAGACGGUCUUGCUGUCACUUAUAGAUGGAUCCGCGCUGCAUUAGCUAGUUGGUAAGGUAACGGCUUACCAAGGCAACGAUGCAUAGCCGACCUGAGAGGGUGAUCGGCCACACUGGAACUGAGCCACGGUCCAGACUCCUACGGGAGGCAGCAGUAGGGAAUCUUCCGCAAUGGGCGAAAGCCUGACGGAGCAACGCCGCGUGAGUGAUGAAGGUCUUCGGAUCGUAAAACUCUGUUAUUAGGGAAGAACAUAUGUGUAAGUAACUGUGCACAUCUUGACGGUACCUAAUCAGAAAGCCACGGCUAACUACGUG